UACAGAGGGGGCAAGCGUUGUUCGGAAUUACUGGGCGUAAAGGGCGCGUAGGCGGCCUGUUAAGUCGAACGUGAAAUCCCCGGGCUCAACCCGGGAACUGCGUCCGAUACUGGCAGGCUUGAAUCCGGGAGAGGGAUGCGGAAUUCCAGGUGUAGCGGUGAAAUGCGUAGAUAUCUGGAGGAAUACCGGUGGCGAAGGCGGGUCUCUGGGCCGAUACUGACGCUGAGGAGCGAAAGCGUGGGGAGCGAACAGG
rnacentral:rRNA from 1 species